rnacentral:rRNA from 1 species
ACGCUGGCGGCGUGCCUAAUACAUGCAAGUAGAACGCUGAAGCUUGGUGCUUGCACCGAGCGGAGGAGUUGCGAACGGGUGAGUAACGCGUAGGUAACCUGCCUCUUAGCGGGGGAUAACUAUUGGAAACGAUAGCUAAUACCGCAUAAAAGUCGACAUUGCAUGAUGUUGACUUGAAAGGUGCAACUGCAUCACUAAGAGAUGGACCUGCGUUGUAUUAGCUAGUUGGUGAGGUAACGGCUCACCAAGGCGACGAUACAUAGCCGACCUGAGAGGGUGAUCGGCCACACUGGGACUGAGACACGGCCCAGACUCCUACGGGAGGCAGCAGUAGGGAAUCUUCGGCAACGGACGGAAGUCUGACCGAGCAACGCCGCGUGAGUGAAGAAGGUUUUCGGAUCGUAAAGCUCUGUUGUAAGAGAAGAACGAGUGUGAGAGUGGAAAGUUCACACUGUGACGGUAACUUACCAGAAAGGGACGGCUAACUACGUGCCAGCAGCCGCGGUAAUACGUAGGUCCCGAGCGUUAUCCGGAUUUAUUGGGCGUAAAGCGAGCGCAGGCGGUUAGAUAAGUCUGAAGUUAAAGGCUGUGGCUUAACCAUAGUACGCUUUGGAAACUGUUUAACUUGAGUGCAGAAGGGGAGAGUGGAAUUCCAUGUGUAGCGGUGAAAUGCGUAGAUAUAUGGAGGAACACCGGUGGCGAAAGCGGCUCUCUGGUCUGUAACUGACGCUGAGGCUCGAAAGCGUGGGGAGCAAACAGGAUUAGAUACCCUGGUAGUCCACGCCGUAAACGAUGAGUGCUAGGUGUUGGGUCCUUUCCGGGACUCAGUGCCGCAGCUAACGCAUUAAGCACUCCGCCUGGGGAGUACGACCGCAAGGUUGAAACUCAAAGGAAUUGACGGGGGCCCGCA